CGUAGUCGAGCUAGGAAAGUGAAUCAACAAAUGCAUGCAAGCUAAGGAGGGAUGUAAUAUAAUUCAGGAGCUGUGUAGUUCAUCUAAACAUUCAAUAAUCUAUAACAAGAACAAUAGAUGCAGACAUUCUGGAAUCAGAAACUGGAACGACAAACAAACAACAAGAAAUGAAUAGAAAACUUUAUUUAUUUCAUUGUUGUUCUUACUAAUUAGAACAAAAGGAUCCAUGCAUAUUUCAUAUAGUUCCUUCCACUAAGAACAAGAAAAUGGAUCUAUGUGUUUGAUUGAACAAAGUUCAUGUGCCUUGGUAAUUCUUUUUGAAGAGCAGCUUGACAACAAUCAGGAUUCCACCUACAGCAAACUGGGGUAUAUCCAUCCACCAUAGCAACAACAAUCAUAAGCACAAGAGUCAUAAUCACCAUCACCAUCAUAGCGAAACUCAUUUUUCCUUUCAUUACAAACAUUUUUUUUUUUAAUUGAUUUUUGGAAGAAAGAGUAGGUAUUUAUCA
rnacentral:lncRNA from 1 species